CUUCCUCAGUUAUGGAAUGAUUUAUCCUAGCAAAUUGUUGAGGUGUGUGCGCUAUUUAUCAACGACUACCUGCUAGCCUCGUCAACAAUCUUCAAAGUAAGCGACGGAAAGAAAACGUUUUCCAGUUCUAAAAUAUUAAGCCCCCGGUGAGGACGUCAUUACUUAACAAAAGCCGGUUCAACACGCACAGCUCCUGUUCAUGACGUCAUCACUAAACUGAAGCCAGCUGAACACGCGCAGCACGGAUGGUACCCCGAGCGCGGUAG